GCCAGUGUGGCUUAGUGGUUGGAGGGUUGGACUAGGACUUUGGAGACCCGGGUUCGAAUCCCGGCUCAGCCA